rnacentral:rRNA from 1 species
UACGUAGGGGGGCAAGCGUUGUCCGGAUUUACUGGGCGUAAAGGGCUCGUAGGCGGCCAACUAAGUCGGAUGUGAAAUCCCCAGGCUUAACCUGGGAACUGCAUCCGAUACUGGAUGGCUUGAAUCCGGGAGAGGGAUGCAGAAUUCCAGGUGUAGCGGUGAAAAUGCGUAGAUAUCUGGAGGAAUACCGGUGGCGAAGGCGGCAUCCUGGACCGGCAUUGACGCUGAUGAGCGAAAAGCUAGGGGGAGCAAACGGG